rnacentral:lncRNA from 1 species
AUUUAUUAGAGCACCCAAAUUUAUUUUAUUUAUCUAUUAUGAUAUAUAAGUUAUUGGCGUAAAUGAAAAUAUACUGAUCAGUGACAUUGCAAAGUCAUUUAGCAAGGAAAGUUGCAUCUCCAUUUGCUAGUGUCCUUUGUGCCUAAUGAUCGUGAGGUUCAUCUAUACUAUCCAAUGAGAAUGUUAUCUUUCUUAAUUGAUAA